CAGGCCUAACACAUGCAAGUCGAGCGAACAGAUAAGGAGCUUGCUCCUUUGACGUUAGCGGCGGACGGGUGAGUAACACGUGGAUAACCUACCUAUAAGACUGGGAUAACUUCGGGAAACCGGAGCUAAUACCGGAUAACAUAUUGAACCGCAUGGUUCAAUAGUGAAAGGCGGCUUUGCUGUCACUUAUAGAUGGAUCCGCGCCGUAUUAGCUAGUUGGUAAGGUAACGGCUUACCAAGGCAACGAUACGUAGCCGACCUGAGAGGGUGAUCGGCCACACUGGAACUGAGACACGGUCCAGACUCCUACGGGAGGCAGCAGUAGAGAAUCUUCCGCAAUGGGCGAAAGCCUGACGGAGCAACGCCGCGUGAGUGAUGAAGGUCUUCGGAUCGUAAAACUCUGUUAUCAGGGAAGAACAAAUGUGUAAGUAACUGUGCACAUCUUGACGGUACCUGAUCAGAAAGCCACGGCUAACUACGUGCCAGCAGCCGCGGUAAU
rnacentral:rRNA from 1 species